UACGGGGAGGGGUAAGCGUUGUUCGGAAUUACUGGGCGUAAAGGGCUCGUAGGCGGCCAACUAAGUCAUACGUGAAAUCCCUCAGCUUAACUGGGGAACUGCGUGUGAUACUGGAUGGCUUGGAUGUGGGAGAGGGAUGCGGAAUUCCAGGUGUAGCGGUGAAAUGCGUAGAUAUCUGGAGGAACACCGGUGGCGAAGGCGGCAUCCUGGACCAUUAUUGACGCUGAGGAGCGAAAGCCAGGGGAGCAAACGGG
rnacentral:rRNA from 1 species